ACAGACUCUCCCCCUCCUACCCCCUCAAACCAACCUGACUAAUAACACAAUGUAUUUUUUAGCCUUUACAGCACAACAGGAGAGUUCAGGACCGAUAGAAAACACAGCUAACAUACACAGAGGCCUGAGCCCGCCCGGAUCAACCCAGAUUUGGAUUGUCUUCCACAACAACAUCCAAGGAAAUGUGAAUCCCCCAAACAGCCACCCCGAAGGUUAAAGCACUCCAGUGAAUAAGAGAGGCUCCUUCUGCUGGGAUGAGCCCCAACAACUGCACUGGACACAACCAAGAGGAGCUGGUUUGAUUUGGAACCAGGGACACACUGCAGGAACGACUGAAAUUGCGAUUUGUCAACAACACAAGC